AAGCAUAAACAACCAAAGACUGCAGAACAAAGGAGGUUUGAAGAACUUAUAGCUUAUUCUGCUAGCCAAGCAGCACCAAAUGUUGACUUUUUGAAGGAACCGAACCCUCCUGUUCCUGCUGGUGAAUGUAUGUAUUGUUUAAAGGUGGAUGAUCACAUUACACAACUGUGCCCCUACAAGUCUGUUGUCCCAAAGAAUGCAAUUCUUGGCAAGGGUUGUUCGGUUCAGUGUAUUGUAUGCGGAUGUAGGUUUAGAGACUCAUGUUGUGGCAAAUGCCGCCAAACCCGUGGACGUGCAAUCCUCAUGGAUUGUAGAAUCUGUGGGAAGCCAUAUGACCACUGGCCUGAUAUGUGCCCGCAACGCAAUUUGAAUUCUUCUUUUACGUGCGACCCUUAUACUGGUUAUUUUUCUUUCAAGGCUUGUCCUCCAAAAGAGUAGAUAAUAGAGAAUGAAUUGUACUCUAGAGUUAAAGCAAAAGAGAAAGGAGUGCUUUUUUAUGUUGUUUGCCAAAAAUGGGGCACGUUUUUGUUUAGCCAUGCAUCCUAUCAUUUAGAUGCCUACAACUUGUAUUGUUUUUAUCGCAAAUUAAUUGCAAUUUGCAGCAGAUGCAUUGUCAUUGUC